GUCACCAAAUUCCAAGUCGACCGCGAACCGCGACUUCCGACACUCGUUUCUUCCGGUGGCAUCGACGAGCCGGCGACGAGGCCUCUGCCGUCGUAUUCUGCUUGGUUGGAGUCGUCAUCUUUGCGUCUUCUAUCGGUUCCUACACCUCUAAUCAUACGUCAUUGGAUGUUAAAUCCUAGUUGUAGAAGAAGACAUAGUUUACGUAGGAGAUGGAGUACUUGCUAGGGUUUAAGGAGGCUGUAUCAGACGAAGUCUUGGAGGGGAAGUCGAGCAGCUUCAAGUUGGUGCCAUGGAUGGGUUGGGAUGAGUGGAAGUCCGUAAGGCAGUCGUUGUUCUCAUCCUUUCCUGAUCGCGUUGCCUUUGCCCUGCGGCGAGUAGUUACCUGGAGGAGCAGAGGGUGCAUUCCCGUGGCGAUUGAUGUUACUGCUUCCCUUGUUGAAAUUCAGCAAAAGGAUCCUUUCUUCAGGAAUGACUUGAAUGAAAGCAGUUCAACUUCAGAGGAAAUGCUGGCUAUGCUAUAUAGUAUGGCAAUCAUGAGGCUUGUUAAUGGUGUUAUUGAGAAGACUCGUAGAAAAAAUGAAAUCUCAAUUGGGGAAGCAGCAGAUGGCAUUGGGAUUCCGAGAAUGCUUAUUGAUAUUCGACAUGAGGGUUCUCAUCGUGAUCUCCCAUCAGUUCGAUUGCUUCGUCGUGCAUCAACUACGGCUCUUGAAUGGUUGGUGUCAUAUUAUUGGGAACCUCAAGAACGGAUAAUACCUGUGCAAACUGAACAAACUGCCAAGCUCCGGAAAGAAAUCAGGAGAGGAUUUAACGAGGUUUCUCUUUGUCUAAAAGCAAAGCAAGCGGAUAAAUCCAAUUCUUCACAUGCCAAGGGCAGACGCGUUAGACAAACUGAAACUUUAUAUGCCCGAAAGUUUCUAUUCCUAGUUGCUGGGAAGUCGUCACAUUCGAGCACUGCCAGCCUUAAGAAGCAACUCUCCAAAUCAUUGAGGAAUAUACAUAGAUUAUACGCUUUGGCUUCCCCGGAAGUAGUGUAUGUUCUUACCGAAUAUUUGCUGAUUGCAUUACACCGGUCCAAGUCGUCGGAAAGAUUAGAGAACACAGUGUUUGUCAACAGUAAUGGAACCGAACAAACCGCAUUUGAUCAUUGGAAAUCAGUUGUCUCAAAACUAUCGAAUAAAGAACCAGAAUUCCUUCUAGUACUCACUCAGGCAGUUCUUGAAAAGCUGGAGACCGAAGAGAUUACCAAUUUUACUACCGGUCUCCAGCCCUCGGACGGCGCUGCCAAAUCUCGCCAUACUGAAUUACUCCCAUGUCUGUUCGACCAUCUUAUCGGCAACCUAAAAAUGCGUCAAAAGGAAUUUGCAGAAGCCAAGGGUUCGAAGACGGGGAAGCCUCUAUCCAAGCCAACUUUACUCGGAUUACUCCGGAGAUGCCUUUUGCUGUCUCGUUUCGGAAACAAGCAUUUACUGUCGUCGACUGUCGCGCUUGCACAGAUGACGGGAGACGCCUCGCUGUUACAUAAGCUCAAGAAGCUUGCUUCCCUCCAUGUAUGGAAUCCUGAUGAUGAAGGCAGUUCUGUUGUAUCUUGCGACGACGCUCUUCUUUUACAGAACGAAGAUUCUCUACGCGAUGCUGAAGAGAAGCUCCAGAUUUUGAAAAAGCUCCGGUCGCAGCAGAAGAAUGAAGAUAAGCUGAAGCAAUCGGAGCCGGGGCGUAAAUGCAGAUGGCCUGUUGCGAAACAAUGGAAUCCAUGUCCCAUUGGCAUGCUGCCUGAUACUAUUGGCUUCUCCGGCCGGCUCCCCGGCUUGGACUGUAUCGAUCAAUGCAGCGAGAGCGCGACUGUUCUAUUUUACGAAGAUAAUGCUCGAUGCUGUAAACGGGAAGCUGAGAUUGGAACCGAGGAAAUGGACACCUCGCCUGUCAAGAAAAUAAAAACGAUCGAAACAGACUCCUCGACGCAGCCUAAUCGUAACGACAACGCAGACGCAGAUGCUAUUAAUGGUCGAAUGAUGAUCGAUGGGGUGUGGAGGAAUGUCGGAGAAGACGAGCUACUUGCCCUUACAUCGGCUGUAAGAUUACUUAUAUAACAGCAAUCUUACCACUCAUUUUAUCGAUUGUUUACAGACAAAGGAAGCUGCAAAACGCCAUUGAAGGGGAGCAUUUCAAGAGCUGCAACUCAUCUUCUCUGUCUUUUGCAACGUCGCACCGGCCGUCGCUAAGAUGCUGACGUGGCUGCAUCUGGUGCGUCCAUUUCUUCUAUAAAUAGCACCCGCCUGGCUGUCUCGCCGCAAAAGCUCACACUCUCAUUUUCUCACGCUGCUUAUCUCUCUCUCUGUCAGAUCUGAUGGCGGUUUGUGCGCGACGGAGGGAAGAAAUCCGGCGCCUGCAAGUGCUGGGUCGGUAUGUUAUUGCGGCGGCCUCUAAUUCGCUUGGUGCAGGUCGGGAACUUGGUUUGCCGACGGCGUUGAAUUGAGCAAGCAUACUCUCAUAUCGUACGUAGUACGAAUAUGCACACGAGUAUGUGUGCUGGUGUUUGCUUUGAUGUCGCUGUUUUUGGCAAAAGUACGGUUCCCGCCUUGCAUCAACUGAAUCGGAGACCGCAGUGAUUGUGGUUUUGAAGAGGUUGAGCUUUGCGAUUCUGAUGGAUCUGAUGACGGGAAUAACCUAGCGUGAAUCUGAGAUUGAUUUGUUGUUGUUGCUUUGUGGAAUAUAUCUGGAUCAGAAUAUGAUUCAGCUUUACCCGGAUUGGUAGAUAGAUGGAUGAUAGAUCCUGUUUUCCUCAUUGACAGAGGCUUAAUGUAUCGAGUACUUGCUGUCGUCGUAUUAAUUUCUGGAACAUGGUUAAUUGCCUGUAUCUUAGUAAGGACCUUUACGUCUGCUGAAAAAUGGAAAUAUAGAUAUGUCGCAUCGGUCGUUAUCUUUA